ACAAAGUGAAGAGAACAACACCCGCACGCACACACACAUACACACACACAGAUAUAUAUACACGCACACACACUCGAAUAAGGUACAUAAAAUUAUAGAUGUAACAUAUACACACACAUUUGCGUGUGUCUAAGUAGUUGUUAUGUAUAUAGCUAUGCAUGAAUGUGUGUGUGUGUGUGUAUAAGUAUGUAUAUAGGAGUGUAUAUAGUUAUGUGUCCCAAAACUGGAACAGUACAUAAGAGCUAAUAAUAAUAAUAAUAAUAAUAAUAAUAAUAAUAAUAAUAAUAAUAAUAAUAAUAUAAUAACAAUAAUGAUCGAAGCAGUUAAGAAGAAGCAUAUAUAUAUAUUUCUUUGAUUAGUUGAGACCUUGAUCACGAUUAAUUACUGGUACAGCUGGAGAGUAAUCAAACACACACACUCACACACUCACACAUACACUCGAGUACACAGACACACAGACACACACGCACACACACACACAAACUCACAUGAAGAAAAAUUGAAAUGCAAUUGGAAAUAAAUACAAUAGUUUCGUAGCUUAUCAAAACAGCUCUACAAAUAUAAGUAUUUCACACACGCACACACACUAAGAUGUAAAUAUAUAUAUAUAUAUAUAUAUAUAUAUAUACACAUACAAAAUUAGUGUACAUUUAAACUUACAGUACACUAAUUUUAUAUGAAUUUUAUAUGAAUAAUAUAGUCUAUUGUCUAUUUUCUGCGUGCUAGGCCACUGGUAGAAAAUUUUUUAUAAUUUUCCUACACUGUAUAAUUUUCCUAUAUAUAUAAAUUUUUUUUCAUGCAUACCUACAUACAUAAACGUGUGUGUUGUGUAUGUAUGCAAAUAUGUAAAGUAGUGAAAUUUCCUCUCAGCCCUGGCAUGUAUGAGCCCAAUGGUCAAAUUGUUAUCAACUGUAUGUUAGACCAAAAUCUUCGCAUGUUGCGAAUGUGUUGUCAUGUUUAUAACUAGAAAACUGAAUCGGUUAUUAUAUAUUUGGUCAUUAUAUAGUUGGAAAUAUUUAAAUAUAUUUAAAUACUGACAAACUCUGUCUCUCUGUCUCUGUCUGUCUGUCUGUCUGUCUGUCUCUCUCUCUCUCUCUCACACACACACACACACACACACUCACUCACACACCCGCGUGAGUUUAUGAAUCUUGUAUUUUGCGUUAAUUACAAAGUAAUACAUGUAAACAAGAUGAAAAGAUCUCUGGGUAAUUAAUGUAUUAAUUAUAUGUUAGGCAAUAUCUAUGAUAAUGGUGUUGGAUCAGAAAACUCAGGUUCACCCACAAAUGUAAACGGCAAUUAGAGCAGUAUUUCUCAGCCCUUUUUAUCGUAUGACCCCUUCGAUUACUAUUUCAUUGGGUGGACCUCAAAACUAUUCCAAAUUUUAAAAUUCCUAUAUUUUUAUAGUUAUAUAUUAUUAGAAACUGUAUUUAAAAAAUUGUCAAAUUUUUGUUGUAGAAGAAUAAAUUAUUUGUUGCGGAUAAAUUUUAACAAGAAAAUCUUAUGUGAAGGGCCACACGCAUCCCGCUCUCACAAGGGCCAUACGAACCCCAGUUGAGAAUCACUGGAUUAGACGAAACACCAGGCGUACACACUCAUAUGUAGAUAUGCACUCAUGAACAUCUACAGACACGUACACACAAGCGCACAUAUAUAUCUACACACACACACACACACACACACACACACACACACACAUACACAUAAUACAUACAUACACACACAUACAUACACACACACACACACACACACACACUCACAUGCACACAAAGUGAGUCUCUGAUGGAAUUCGGAGGAACAAUGGAAGAAUUACCAGUGUUAGAAGGUUUAUCUUUUAACUUGUGGUAAUCAUUGGGCUGCGGCCAUGCUGGGGCACCACCUUGAAGGCUUAUAGUCGAAUAAAUAGUCCCCAGGAUCUACUCUGGUACUUAUUCUAUAAGUCUUAUUUGCCGAAGCGAUAUUCCCAGUGACGUAAACAAACCUACAUCGGGUAUGAAACUGUGACAGGGGCAAACACGAAGAACACAGAUACAUGAAAGUAUUUACAUAUACACAUAUAUACACACAAAUAUAAUUACAUAUGUGUGUGUGUGUGUGAAUACACACAUUCACUCAUACGGGUGUCAACGUAAUUUUCAUCUACCAAAUUCUCUCACAAGAUAUUGGUCGGCCCGAGACCAAAGGGUAUCUACCUAUUUUGCUAUACGUACGUACAUAUUUACAUACACAUACAUACACACAUACAUAUACACAUACAUACAUACAUACAUACAUACAUACAUACAUACAUACAUACAUACAUACAUACAUACAUACAUACAUCGAGAGAGAGAGGUUGGGGUUUUCAGAAAAAGAAUACAAACAAAUAACACAUAUUCCAAAGACAAUCUGUAAGCGGAACAAUAUAAAUAUGCAAGAUAUUUCUGAAGUUCAAAAUAUGAAUUUGUUUUUAUAAAACAUUUCAACGAUGGGGCUCUGUAUGUUUACAGGUAGAUUUCAUAUAAUUAAAAACAGAAGAAAACAACACACACACACAUACAUAUACACACAGUGUGUGUGUGUAUAAACAAACAUAUGCAUUAAAUAUAAUAGAGCGUGCACGGUUAUGGACUAAUUAAUUCUCUGUUCGUAAACGCAAAUUUUGACACAAACUCGCACUCACAAACAUAUGCAUAAAUACAUAAAUAAAUACAUACUUACACUCGUACACACACACAUACGUUCAUACAUACAUACAUACAUACAUACAUACAUACAUACAUACAUACAUACAUACAUACAUACAUACAUACGUGUGUGUGUAUGUGCGCACAUGAAUGCUCACGCACGCAUGAAUGCGCAAGCAGGUCUUAAAAUAUAAUUCAUAGGUCUACUAAAACUCAGAGUAAGGUUUCGUAAAACAGUUGGUCGCAAAAUGUUACACAUUCUAAGGAUUGAGUGGUGAACAGGGUGUACGACCAUACUGGAGUCCACAAGUAAAAACCCUGUAGAACCACGCCUUAAGCUGAGGGAGAGAAAUAGCCCCAAUAUUGCCUUAUUGUACAGUCUCCCCCUCCAACAGAUUAUUAGUAAAGGAAAUGAAUUCCUAUAGACAGGCGUUGAUGCCUGAAUCAGAAUUAACAAGCAACGACAUCAAUUUAUUAAUGCAAAAUAAAGGAGGAAAGCGAAUAACGCUUUAAAUUAAGACACACAUACAUGCAAAUAUGUCUGUCUGUCUAUCUAUCUAUCUAUCUAUCUAUCUAUCUAUCUAUCUAUCUAUCUAUCUAUCUAUCUAUCUAUCUAUCUAUCUAUCUAUCUAUCAAUCUAUCUAUCUAUCUAUCUAUCUAUCUAUCUAUCUAUCUAUCUAUCUAUCAAUCUAUCUAUCUAUCUAUCUAUCUAUCUAUCUAUCAAUCUAUCUAUCUAUCUAUCUAUCUAUCUAUCUAUCUAUCUAUCUAUCUAUCAAUCUAUCAAUCUAUCUAUCUAUCUAUCUAUCUAUCUAUCUAUCUAUCUAUCUAUCUAUCUAUCUAUCUAUCUAUCAAUCUAUCAAUCUAUCUAUCUAUCUAUCUAUCAAUCUAUCUAUCUAUCUAUCUAUCUAUCUAUCUAUCUAUCUAUCAAUAUAUAUAUGUAUAUGUAAGUGUGUGUGUGUGUGUGUAUACACACACACACGUACAUACAACUACGUAAGCACACAUACUACAAAUAUAGGUAUAUAUGCAUCGUGUAUAUUAAAUUAAAAAUUAAUUUACAAAUACAUAUACACAUACACACACCCAUGCAUAUAAACAUACUACAAAUAGGUAUAUAUUGUAUUAUAUAUGUAUAUAUGAUUCUCUCUCCAUAUAUAUAUAUAUAUAUAUAUAUAUAUAUAUAUAUAUAUAUAUAUAUGUGUGUGUAUAUAUAUAUAUAUAUAUAUAGGUGUGUGUUAAUAAAUAUAUAUAUAUAUAUAUAUAUAUAUAUAUAUAUAUAUAUAUUUAUAUAUAUAACAAUGUGGAGUUGUAACAUAUAUAUAUGUACACACUUACACACAGAUAUAUAUAUAUAGAGUAUACAUAUGUAUACUCUAUCAUUUUAGAAUUCAGUGUAAGAGAAAAUGUCCAAAAUUCUCCUUUCUAGUUUAUAAUUCUUCGUACAUGAAAUUUCAGCUCAACUUGCUGUAAUUUACAAUGUAUUUAAUACAUUUGCUUUUCAUUAUUGUGUUCUCCAUAUUCAAAAUCAUCGCUCUCGGGCUUUAUAAUACAUAGAUGCACACCCACAUGCUCACUCACGCACACAGACACACACAGACACAUAACGACAAACACAUCUUUUGCCUGUGAGCGAAUUCUUGUGUGCGUGUGUUUGUACGCGCGCCAACGAGCAUUGGGGGCUUGUGAUUACGGGAGUGAAGGCGUAUCGUGGCUUGGGUUUGUCUGUGUGUGCGCCAGGACAUCUGCAUGUGGGGCCCUUCCGUUAUAAAUAUAAUCAAUUCAUCUAUUUGGAUUUUAAUUAAUGAGACAUAUGAUAUAUAAAUAUAUAUAUAUAUAUUAUAUACAUGUGUAUAUAUAUGUUAUAAAUAUAUAUAUAUAUAUAUAUACAUAUUAUACAUAUAUAUAUACAUACAUACAUAUACAUUUAUAUGUAUAUAUAUGUGUGUGUGUGUCUAUAUAUAUAUAUAUAUAUAUAUAUAUAUACAUAUAUAUAAAUAAAUAAAUAAAUAUAUAUAUAUAUACUCGCACACACACACGCUCAUAUAUAUAUAUAUAUGCAUAUAUAUUUGAGUGUGUGUGUAUGGAAAAUUGACCGUUUAUUUAACUGUUGUGAAUCGUGAAGACAGGCUUAGAGACAAACGAAAACAUACUCAUAUAUAUGCAUGUAUACGUACAUACGCGCGUACACACACACACACACACACACAUACACACACACACGCACACAGACAUACACACACGCACACAGACACACACCUGCACGAACCCACCCACACACAUGCACGUACACACAAGAAGGCCUCUCAGACAGUUUCUGUGAAACAAAUCUCUCAAGAUCUGCCCGCGGCUAUAUUAUAUCAGGAGACUCUCACCAUACAAAGGUUCUUCCAAAACUCGUUGUAUUUCUGAUACAUUAAAUAUCGCUUAUAUUCUACACGCACGCACGCGCACAAUGCCGCUGAUUGUAUAAAUAUACACGCUUACGUAUACCGAUAUACGUCAACAUAGCUAUAUACACGAGUCGCUAUGUAUUGGUAUGUGACUCUUGCCGGAAAUAACUGUCGCAAGUAGCGGGUUCUGAAAAUUUUACUUAUGCCAAAAUAUAUUAUACAUGCGUAUAUUUAUAUAUAUAUAUAUGCAUACAUACAUACAUAAUAAUGAAUAUAUAAAUGUAUAUAUAUGUAUAUGUAUAGAUAUACACACAUACAUACAUACACACUAAUGAAUAAAUAAAUAUUGAUAUGUAUAUAUAUAUAUAUAUAUAUGUAUACACACACACACACACACACACACACACACAUAUAUAUAUAUAUAUAUAUAUAUAUAUAUACAAGAAUUUGAAUAUAUAUAUAUAUACAUAUAUAUAUGUCUGUGUGUGUGUAGAUUUAUAUGUAUAUAUAUAUGUAUACAUAUGUGUGUAUAUGUGUAUAUAUCUAUAUGUAUGUAUGUAUGUAUGUAUGUAUAUAUAUAUAUAUAUAUAUCUAUAUAUAUGUAUGUAUGUAUGUAUAAGAAUUUAAAAGUAAAAUUUGGAGAGGUGUACUAAUUCAAUAUCCUUCACUUUCCAUCUUCCGAAAGUCUUCGCAUGUGAAUACAUGUAUGUAUGUCUGUAGAUUCGUGUAAUUGUGUGUGUGUGUGUGGUCUGUGCAUGUGUCGAGGUCUGUGAAUGUAUGUGUAGUGUAUAUACAUGUGCUUUACUUGUAUAUAUUUACUUGUACAUAUUUAUAUAUAUUAUAUAUAUGCGUAUGUGUGUGUACGUGUGCGUGUGUAUAUGUGCGUAUGCGUGUUUGCAUGUAAUGUAUAUAUAUAUAUAUAUAUAUAUAUAUAUAUAUAUAUAUAUAUAUAUAUAAAAAUUAGUGUACAUUUUAACACAAAAAGAGGUGAGUCUUAACAAGUUGCCUUACAUGCUAGAAAGAACAGUAAAAAAUUAAAACUACAGUUGAGAGAAAUUUCGCAGGGAAUAAGAUAAAAACAUUUACAUAUAUCAGUGCUUUUCUAUUUUAACAAACACACACACACACACAUACACACACAUACACACGUACACACACACAGGCAUACAUACAUAAAUACAUAUGUAUGUAUGUAUAUAUGACCGUUUAUAUUUUUGUGUCUUACCCUGUUACAGAAAAAUAUUUCGGGUGCGCCCGGCUGAAAAGACGAAGAAAUAUUCAUAUAUAUAAAAUCUUAUUAUAUAUAUAUAUACAGGCUCAUAGACACACACACACACACACACACACACACACACACACACACACACACACACACACACACACAUAUGUACAUAUGUAUAUAUAUGUGUAUACAAAAUAUAAAUAUUUUAUUUGUAAAUAUUCAUAUAUACACGUAUAUAUUUGGACGUCUGUCUGUAUGAUCGACGCUAGAUGGGUAGAAAAAAUUGUCGUGAUUGAUAAUAAAUUCUCGUAUAUUUCUACUUCCAUCUUUCAUUUAUCGUAUGUUCUGAGUGUAUAUAUAUGUAUAUGUAUAUACAUAUGUGUGUAUAUUACUCACAGAAAAUUUGAUUUUUCAUGUUUUAUUUACAAUCUGAUAAUAAUACAAUAGAAUAUUAUAUAAUAUGAAAUGAUAGAAUAUUAAAUGUCCAUUCUGAUAUAUAUAUAUAUAUAUAUAUGUGUGUGUGUGUGUGUGUGUGUGUGUGUGUGUCUGUAUGUGUGUGUGUAUAUAUAUAUGUAUAUAUAUAAACUUGUAAAAAUAUAUGAAUAUAUAUAUUCAUUUAUAUAUAUAUGCAUAUAUAGAUGAAGAUAAGCAUGUAUAUGCACGUGUAUAAUUAUACAUAAAGAUAAAUAUGUGUGCAUAUUUAUACGUGCUUAUACACAUGCAUUUGCAUAUAUUCGUAUAUAUAGCAUUGUUAAUAUAUAUAGAUAUGUGUGUGUGUGUGUGUACAGGGUCCAUAUGAUAAUUGCAUAAAAUGAACAUCUAUCUAUCUAUCUAUCUCUCUAUCUAUCUAUAUAUCCAUCUAUCUAUCUACCUACAUACAUACAUAAUACAUACAUACAUACAUAUACGUUGUACUUUCGAUAAUAUAUAAUAUAAUAUAUAUAUAUAUAUAUAUAUAUAUAUAUAUAUAUAUAUAUAUAUAUAUAUAACUCGAAAGUAGAACAGAAAAAGACACAAACGGAAACCGGAUGUAUACAUGCAUAUAUCAGUUUUGAUAUAUUUAUAAGACCUUUUAGAAAGAAAGCGUUCAGUUUUAAUUUUUUAUUAAGAUUUCGACGCCUUCGUAUAUUUUCCUAAAAUGUAUGUAAUAAUCAUUGCGCUUUGUGGUGAAAAGAAAUAUUAAUAUAUACACAUAUUUAUAUAUACAUACAACCAUAGAUGCAUAUUUAUGUGUAUACAUGUUGGUGUGUAUAUAUAUGCAUAUAUAUAUAUAUGUAUAUAUAUGCAUAUUAGUACACCGAUAUAUAUUCUUCUGAGUGGCCACAUAUGUAUAUAUAUAUAUAUAUAUAUAUAUAUAUAAACUUGUAAAAAUGUAAAGCAUUGAAUCUGUGUUCUCUCCAGCGCCGCCGUGAACGAUACAUCAUUUGCACGAUGUGGCUAACAUACCACCAGCAUUGCCCAAACGACCUCAACAUUUGUUUCAAAAUUCAUCCAAGGCUGGGACCCCGGGCCAUACGUCCCCUAGCCAAUUCAGGAUCACAACACAUAAAUACACUGCAACAUAUUUUAUUUCCUUCAACAGGCCCUGACCUAUUCAACGUUGUCUCGAAUUCUUUAAACGGAAUCUGGACAAAUUUUUCCAGGAAUACCAGAUAAGCCACCUACAUCUGGUUACAGCUCACUCAAUAAAAACUACAAACUCGAACGGACCAUGAUACCAAAGAACCUGACUUAAAAAGGAUUUAGCUAAUCCUAUCAGGUGGUGCUAUUAAGUUAGACAUGGCCCGGACCAAUCUCUGGUUGAAACAUAUCUAAGUCAAAAUAUCUAUCUAUCUAUCUAUCUAUCUAUCUAUCUAUCUAUCUAUCUAUCUAUCUAUCUAUCUAUCUAUCUAUCUAUCUAUCUAUCUAUCUAUCUAUCUAUCUAUCUAUCUAUCUAUCUAUCUAUCUAUCUAUCUAUCUAUCUAUCUAUCUCUGUAUUUCUAACUUGUUCCCAAUUUUUCUUCAGACACUCCCAUAUCUUUACACACCUGCUAAUGCAUGCUAUCUGUUGCGCAUCUUUUACUCAUUGGCCUGAAAAGACAUAAGAAUAUAGGUUUUAGAAAAUAUUUGUAGAACUUAAUAAUCAGCUAUACAUAUUCAUGCGGCAUCUGAUAUAUAUAUAUAUACAUAUAUAUAUAUAUAUAUAUAUAUACAUACAUAUAUAUAUAUGUUUAUAUAUAUAUACAUAUAUAUAUAUAUAUAUAUAUAUAUAUAUAUAUAUAUAUAUAUAUAUAUAUAUACAUAUAUAUAUAAUAUAUAUAUAUAUAUACAUAUAUAUAAUCAUAUGAUAAAUAAAAAUAUAUGCAUACAUACAAACAUAUAUGUACGUACCUACAUCUACAUGUAUAUAUACAUACACACAUAAAUAAAUAUACGUAUGUACAGGACGCCAUAUAUAUAUAUAUAUAUAUAUAUAUAUAUGUCUGUAUGUAUGUAUGUAUGUAUGUAUGUAUGUAUGCAUGCAAAUAAUGGUAAAGUAGACGCCAACGGCGGUGCCCCAGCAUGACUGCAACUUUCAAGCUGAAACACUUUAGAGAAUUAGAGGAAAAAAGUGUUUAUGCUCAUAUACGCACAUAUAUGUAUAUAUUUGUGCAUAUAUACAUAUAUACAUAUAUAUAUAUAUUUAUACAUAUACAUAAAUAUAUAUUUAUAUAUGUGUAUGUAUAUAUAUACUAUGUAAAUGCACACAGAAACACAUAUAAACAUAUAUACAUAUAUAAGUGCAUAUGUGUUUGUAUAUGCAUGUGUAUUUUUAGCUGAAUUUACCCAUUUUCCACCUAAGUUACAAAUGACCGUCACACUUAUGUGUUUCAAUCAACAGAUCAACCUGUAUGUAUAAUUAAUCACAUCAAUUCUUUUAUAAACGAAACCCCAUAGACAUUAAUGGGAUCUGCAAUAUCCAAUUGGACUCUGAGUAUGCUUUCGCACAUUCCGAUACAUAAUAUGCCUACAUACAUGUAUAUGUAUGUAUAUAUAUAUAUAUACACACAUAUAUAUAUACAUAUAUAUGUAUAUGUAUGUAUGCAUUUGUAUGCAUGUAUAUAUAUGUGUAUCCCUGUGUAUAUGUAUAUAUGCGUAUAUGUAUAUAUAUAUAUAUAUAUAUACACAUAUACAUGUGUGUAUAUAUAUAUAUAUACUUAUAUAUAUAUAUAUGCAUAAAUACACACACACGCACACGCACAUGCACACACGCGUAUAUGUGUAUGUGCGUGUUUGUGUUUAUAUGUAUAAAAAUGUGUGACAGUUGAAGGAGUUAUUGAAUGCAAGCCUGGUUUAUACACGUGCACACACACACACACACACACACACACACACACAUACACACACACAAGAACACGCACAGAAAUACACACACGGGCGUACAUAAUAAUGUGAGUAAAUAUGUACAUACUAAAUAUGUACAUAUAUAUAUAUAUAUAUAUAUAUAUAUAUACGUAUGCAUACAUAUAUAUAUAUAUACUUAUAUAUGUACAUGUAUAUAUAUAUAUAUAUAUAUAUAUAUAUAUAUAUAUAUAUAUAUAUAUAUAUAUAUAUAUAUAUAUAUGUAUGUAUACCUGUAUAUAUUUAUGUAUUAGUAUAUGUAGAAGUAAGUGCGUGUACUUGUGUGUGUGUAAUAUUUUUCUGUACGUUUGAAUGUUUACGAAUAAAUAGGAGACAAAUGAACUUUAUUAUCAUUUGUAAAAAUACAUUUUGGGUCAUUGUUGCGGAUUAUUCUGUGCUUGUUAUCUGUAUGUUUUCUUAAACUGAACAGCGUUGAAACUAAAACGCUUGUUUUGCAUGAGUAGUGAUGCAUGCGCCCUCUAUCCUCCAGGUAAAAAUCUCUUUUUACUAUGUAUGAGGUUGUUACAGAUUUAGGUUGCUUAACAUUCUGCCAACAACUAAAGGCGAAAAAUUGCUUGUGCAGAACCAGCGACCAAAGAAGCCUCCAGUGACACGCCACUGUAUUUAAUAAUUGGAAGUGCUUCGAGAAAUAUGUAGUUCUAAAUACAGAAAUAUAUAGUCCCAUGGUCGUUGUUGAAACGUCCUUCAUUGUGCUUUUGCUCUCUCAGGGGUCACCUGGGUGGGGAUGGUGCUAAAAGCAAAACAAUCCUAAUACUUACACCAACAGGCUAUGGAGCGUUAAGAGAGUGUAAGAUAUACACAAGAAUCUUGAGAUUUUCGGUAGGAAUUCCUUCAACCGCAAACGGCAAGAACAACAAAAAUAAGUAAAUGAGAAAAAAACGAGAAAAUUUGAAAUGUUUUCAAAUAAUCACUGGAUCCGUUGAUUACAUUUCGUGGACAGGUUUAACACGGGCACCUGGAUCCUGGAUGCCUGCAGUCGGAUCCACAUUAUUGCAACCUCUGUGGUCAGGAAUCCGAUCCCACUAUAUGUAACCUAUUUCUUAAUUAUCCGAAUCACAGUCCGUGAAAGUGUCAAAGACUCCGGUCUUUUCCCACUUUGCACCUAUCAGAAAUUAUAACAUCAGCAACUACAACAAUGAUAACAAUAAUUAAUGAUAAUAAUAAAUAAUAAGAUGGAGUUGCUUGAGGUCUCAGGGUGAAACGUUGAAGGACUUGUAUAGAACAAAGCAACAAUAACGCAAAUAAAAACUGCAACAAUAAUCCUUAGGCACAAGGCCUGAAAUUUUUUGGGGGACGGAACCACUCGAUUUCUGAAACCCCAGUGCGUAACUGGUACUUAAGUUAUCGACUCUGGAAGAAUAAAAGGCAAAGUCGUACUCGGCGGAAAUUGAACUCAGAACCUAGCGACGGAAGAAAGACCGUUAAGCAUAACGAUGAUAGCGAUAUCUUAUAUUAGCCAACAGGGCAAUGGAUGACGGGCAGAAGGGGACAAUACAACGAGACACACACACACACAUAUACAUAUAUAUAUAUAUAUAUAUAUAUAUAUAUAUAUAUAUAUAUAUAUAUAUAUAUAUAUAUAUAUAUAUAUAUGUAUAUGUAUAUAUAAUACAUAUAUACAUACAUGCAUAUAUAUAUAUAUAUAUAUAUAUAGGCGCUAAAUUGCGAUUGACACUCUGGCAGAUAAUGACCAGUAGUUGGCGACCAUCUGUCUCUGUUUCCCGUUUGUUUGUUCAUUUACUAUGUUAUAUAUAUAUAUAUAUAUAUAUAUAUAUAUAUAUAUAUAUAUAUAUAUAUAUGUAUAUGCGUAUCUAUGUAUAUAUAUACAUAUAUACAUAUAUAUUUCUAUACAUAUACAUAUAUAUGUAUAUAUAUAUAUACAUAUAUAUGUACAUGAAUAUAUAUAUAUGUGUGUGUGUAUGUUUGUGUGUGUGUGUAUCUCUGUGUGUGUAUGUAUUUGAAAUAUAAUUUCUUUACAAAACUUUGAUUUUGUAAAUCUGGUGAGUUGUUUUUAGUGAGUUCCUUUGCCCUAGGUGUUGGGGAGACACACUUAGCAAUAAUUGGAAUCAAGAUGGAAGGAAACAAUUAGACGAAUAAUAAUAAUAAUAAUAAUAAAAAUAAUAAUAAUAAUAAUAAUAAUAAUAAUAAUAAUAAUAAUAAUAAUAAUAAUAAUAAUAAUAAUAAUAAUAAUAAUAAUAAUAAUAAUAACGAUAAUAACUGGCAACUAAGGCCAAUUUCUCAUUUAGCAGAUAUUGGUUUAUGGAAUAUUGCAAAAACUUAUUAAUUGAAGAGUUAACAAAAUUUAGAAUUUAAUCUAAAAUGUAUUCUAGCAUUGAAUUCUUCAAUUUGAUCGACUUCUAUAUGGCAUAUAAGAUGUCCAAAGCGUGUUUUUUGUGUGGGUGUAUAUAUAUAUGUUCGUUUUUUGUGUUAUAGUGAAAAUGAUUUUACAUUAAUCUGAAGAAUUUCUCAAUCCGUUUGGUAGACCAAAACUUUGGUAUUCCUCAACAAGAAUAGUAUUGACUGUGACUUCGAAGUUUGGCUACCUAAGUCAAAUAUAACUUAGCUGUCUGAAAGGACGGAGUCACUGUCAGUAAAAAAUUCUUUAUAUAUAUAUAUGUAUAAAUAUAUACAUAUAUGUAUAUAUAUAUAUAUAUAUAUAUAUAUAUACAUAUAUACACACAUAAUACACACACUCACACACGCACACUCACACACGCACACACACGCACACACACACACACACACACACAUAUAUAUAUAUAUAAAUAUAUAUACAUGUGUGUAUACACUCUUACACACGCGCACACACGCAUAUACGUAUCUUGUAAGAUAUAUUUAUGAAUAAUUAAUAUCUUUACAAUAAAUACCAUUAUCAUUAUCAUUAUCAUUAUUAUUAUUAUUAUUAUUAUUAUUAUUAUUAUUAUUGUUGUUGUUGUUGUUGUUGUUGUUGUUGUUGUUAUUAUCAUUAUGAUUAUUAUUAUUAUUAUGACAGUUUUGUUUUUAUUUAGUAGAAUCUUUAGAACGUAGGAAGUAAUGCAUUGGACUAUUUCAUUUAACUAUUUGAGUGUGUUCAAUUCCCAGCCGAUUUUAACUUACCAAGUUCGAUAAAAAAAAAAUUAUUAAUAAUAAAACAGCGAAACACUUCAUUUGUUUCAAUCAACUCCGGUCUUAACUUCCAUCUGUGGAAGUUAUAUAAGAAAUGUUAACUUUUUUUUAUUUAUAUAUUUAUAUCGCAAAUUAUGUUUGUUUCCCCAAGCGUUGUCUUGGCAAUAGAAUAGAGAAAGUAUAAAAAUAUUUAAAAAAAAAACAGGUAGUUAAUAAAAGUUUCUGGUUACAGGUAAUCUAUAUAUAUUGAUAUGUGGAGGCGCGUGGUUUAGUGGUUGGGGUGUUGGAUUCAUGAUCGUAAGAUUGUAGUUUCGAUUCCUGGACUGGGUGACAAGUUGUGUUCUUGAGCAAAAAAACUUCAUUUCACGUUGCUUUAACCCAUUCAGUUGGUAAAAGUUUGUUACCCUACGACAGACUGGCGUCCCUUCCAGGUGGGGGGGAGGAGGGUCUACACGCCCCGGAGACCGGGAAACCGGGAAAGAUCUUCAUUCUAUCUUUACCCAAUAUCUGUUGAUUCAGAGAAUCUUAGUAAAAAUAGAUAAGUCUUUGGAAAGUAUCAUAUCACAAACAAAAAUACGUAAACGGGACCCAUGGAAGUAAAACAAAGCAAAGGAAUACAAAACAAAAACAUAAUAAACGACAAAAACAACAGCACCAACAACAAUAACAACAACAACAACAACAAACAAGACAAGUGGACACUUUGUCAAGAUUGGGGCUGUCAUUGAAAAAUAGAAAACGAGCGACAGAAAUGUCAAUAGAUAAAGUUGAUAUUCCAGUUGUUAGCUAAUAAGUGUUUACACACACUUAAACGAUUGCAUUUGCGAAACACAUCUAAACACACACACAGACACGCGCACACAUCCUUGCAUAUGUACAAAUAUACAUUAAUCCCUACAUACAUAUAUACAUACGUACAUGCAAACAACUAUAUAUAUUUAUAUAUACAUACAUUCAUAUAUAUAUAUAUAUAUAUAUAUAUACAUAUAUAUAUAUAUAUAUAUAUAUAUGCAUAUAUAUAUAUGUUUGAUAUGUAUUUAUAUUUAUAUAUAUAUAUAUAUAUAUAUAUAUACAUACAAAUAACAUUGCCAACGCAUAACUUUUAAGCUUAGAGUCACGUAAACUUACAAAUACACAGAUAAGACAGAAGUAUGGGUAUAGUUAUUAUGCAUUCAUAUACAUACACACACACACACACACACAUGCACACACACACACACACACACACACACACACACACACACAUAUAUAUAUAUAUAUAUAUAUAUAUAUAUAUACAGAGAGAGAGAAAGAGAGAGAGACACACACACACACAUUCACAAACGAACACACAUAUACAUAAACUACAUUCAAAAGCAUAUCGUAGUGGGAGGGAGAAAAUAUUUCUCCUGUUCGCCAACAACAUUUAGACCCUGUGUCAGAGGAAUCCAAUCCGACCGUGACACUCAUUACAGAAAAAUCAACUCAUCAUUUUCUCCCAAUCGUAUUUUUGCACGCGCGACCGCCAGACCAACUUUACGUGCAGAUGUAUAUAGAGUCAAAUCUAUAUACAUACGUACACAAAGAAAAACACAAACAUAUUCAUUGAUAUAUUCAUAUACACAUACAUACAAACAUAUAUAUGUAUGUAUAUAUUCAUAUAUACAUACAUUCAUAUGUUCAUAUAUGCAUACAUGCAUACAUAUGUGUGUGUUUGUGGAUAUACAUAUUGAUAUGAAUGUGCGUCUGUUUAUAUAUAUUUACCUACUUGUAUAUAUACACACAAACGUAUGUAUGUGUGUAUAUUUAUAUAUAAGUAUAUAUAUACAUGUAUAUAAAUAUAUAUAUGUAUAUAUAUAUAUAUAUAUAUAUAUAUAUAUAUAUAUAUAUAUAUAUAUAUAUACAUACAUAACUAUAUUGUACGUAGGUGAAUACGUAUAUAUAUAUAUUUAAUUCUAUUGCUUCAAGAUUGGCAUGUGUUUGUAUAUAUAUUAAUAUAUAUAUAUAUAUAUAUAUAUAUAUAUAUAUAUAUAUAACUUACAUAUACACAGACAUAUAGGAACAUAUACAUAUCUUCGCGGCGUACAAAUAGAUAUGACCAUAUACGUAUGUAUAUACAGUGGUUUAUAUAAUUUAAUGAAAUAGCAAAAAGCCAAAAAUAUUUCUAAGGUGUAAUGUAAUUGGGGGCGUACUCAGUUUGGUCAGAAGUACAUUCAAAUAAUAAAUAAGGACAAAAGUACAUGAAAAGAAAAUAUUU
rnacentral:lncRNA from 1 species